AUGCGCUGCUUGAGCACUGCGGUUCUUCCGCGCCAUCCCUACCGCCCCAGCGACUUUUCGCGACGUCUUGUUCGCU
rnacentral:sRNA from 1 species